rnacentral:rRNA from 1 species
UACGGGAGGCAGCAGUGGGGAAUAUUGGACAAUGGGCGAAAGCCUGAUCCAGCCAUGCCGCAUGAGUGAAGAAGGCCUUCGGGUUGUAAAGCUCUUUUAGUGAGAAAGAUAAUGACGGUACUCACAGAAGAAGUCCUGGCUAACUCCGUGCCAGCAGCCGCGGUAAUACGGAGAGGGCUAGCGUUAUUCGGAAUUACUGGGCGUAAAGGGCACGCAGGCGGUUAAUUAAGUUGGAUGUGAAAUCCCCGGGCUUAACCUGGGAAUGGCAUUCAAGACUGGUUAGCUAGAGUCUUGUAGAGGGGGUAGAAUUCCAUGUGUAGCGGUGAAAUGCGUAGAGAUGUGGAGGAAUACCGGUGGCGAAGGCGGCCCCUGGACAAAGACUGACGCUCAUGUGCGAAAGCGUGGGGAGCAAACAGGGAUUAGAUACC